UGCCAGCAGAUCAGGCGUAAAACAGUCUGGACUUACUGGAAGUUAGAGGUGCGACCUCGUAAAAAGCGUA
rfam:Ruminococcus sp. DSM 100440 contig00027, whole genome shotgun sequence.